UGUUCGGUAGCUCAACGGUGGAGUAUCAGGCUGUUAACCGGAGGUUGUAAGUUCGAAUCCUACCCGGGGAGCCA
rnacentral:tRNA from 1 species